rnacentral:rRNA from 1 species
AGUGAACGCUGGCGGUAGGCCUAACACAUGCAAGUCGAACGGCAGCACAGUAAGAGCUUGCUCUUACGGGUGGCGAGUGGCGGACGGGUGAGGAAUACAUCGGAAUCUACUUUUUCGUGGGGGAUAACGUAGGGAAACUUACGCUAAUACCGCAUACGACCUACGGGUGAAAGCAGGGGAUCUUCGGACCUUGCGCGAUUGAAUGAGCCGAUGUCGGCUUAGCUAGUUGGCGGGGUAAAGGCCAACCAAGGCGACGAUCCGUAGCAGGUCUGAGAGGAUGGUCAGCCAGACUGGAACUGAGACACGGUCCAGACACUUACGGGAGGCAGCAGUGGGGAAUAUUGGACAAUGGGCGCAAGCCUGAUCCAGCCAUACCGCGUGGGUGAAGAAGGCCUUCGGGUUGGAAAGCCCUGUUGUUGGGAAAGAAAAGCAGCAGGUUAAUACCCCGCGGUUCUGACGGUACCCAAAGAAUAAGCACCGGCUAACUUCGUG